GCCUGGCUGGCUCAGUCAGUAGAGCUCAUGACUCUUGAUCUCGAGGUUGCAGGUUCAAGUCCCAUGUUGGGUG
rnacentral:tRNA from 1 species